rnacentral:lncRNA from 1 species
CGGGAACUUUCCUUGGCUCAUUUCCUCAGGCCGUAGAGGAGCCAUCACCUGGAAGACAGCCAGUCUGAGCUUCCAGUGUGCAAAGCCCAGUUGAAAAGUCGAGGAAGAAAGACUAGAGGGAGCUGUGACUGACUGAGGACAACAAGCCUCCUCUUUGGAGACCACUGGGCUGCUUUUCCAGAUGCAGAACACUCUUAAUGGGAAGAAACAUGUUUGCUUGGUUUCCUGAUCACCCUCUUGGACUUCUUCAAUUCAGCAUCAUCCUGGAUCGCCCUAUCUUCUUGUCUUUUCCCAUUGUUGAGAGAGCCUCAGGCAUCUUUGCAUGACUGGAAGCCAUGAUGUUAUGUCACUGCACAGAGA